AUGAACCAUAGAGAAAAUAAACCACCAACAUUGGGCUUGCACAACAUUAAGCUUGGGCCACGAAUGCUCGUUUUCCGAUUUCGGGACAAAUGUCGCGCUAUGUUAAGCAAUCGCCAAGUAACUUAUAUAGAAGUCACCCUGCAACGAGGUCGGUCUUGGAUAUAUGGGCUAAUGUAUGCUUGA